AACGAACGCUGGCGGCAUGCCUAACACAUGUAAGUCGAACGAGACCUUCGGGUCUAGUGGCGCACGGGUGCGUAACGCGUGGGAACCUGCCUUUAGGUUCGGAAUAACUCAGAGAAAUUUGAGCUAAUACCGGAUAAUGUCUUCGGACCAAAGAUUUAUCGCCUUUAGAUGGGCCCGCGUUGGAUUAGCUAGUUGGUGGGGUAAAGGCCUACCAAGGCGACGAUCCAUAGCUGGUCUGAGAGGAUGAUCAGCCACACUGGGACUGAGACACGGCCCAGACUCCUACGGGAGGCAGCAGUGGGGAAUAUUGGACAAUGGGCGAAAGCCUGAUCCAGCAAUGCCGCGUGAGUGAUGAAGGCCUUAGGUUGUAAGCUCUUUUACCCGAGAUGAUAAUGACAGUAUCGGGAGAAUAAGCUCCGGCUAACUCCGUGCCAGCAGCCGCGGUAAUGUGACUACUG
rnacentral:rRNA from 1 species